CCUACGGGUGGCAGCAGUGAGGAAUAUUGGUCAAUGGGAGAGAUCCUGAACCAGCCACGCCGCGUGAGGGAAGACGGCCCUAUGGGUUUUAAACCUCUUUUGUCGGAGAACAAAACCCGGGACGUGUCCCGGACUGCGUGUAUCCGAAGAAAAAGCAUCGGCUAACUCCGUGCCAGCAGCCGCGGUAAUACGGAGGAUGCGAGCGUUAUCCGGAUUUAGUGGGUUUAAAUGGUGCGUAGGCGGUCCGUUAAGUCAGCGGUAAAAUUGCGGGGAUCAACCCCGUCGCGCCGUUGAAUCUGGGAGACUUGAGUUGGCGAGAAGUAGGCGGAAUGCGGGGUGUAGCGGUGAAAUGUAUAGAUAUGGCGCAGAACUACGGUUGCGAAGGCAGCGUAGGGGCGCCAGAGUGACGCUGGGGCACGAAAGCGUGGGGAUCGAACAGGAUUAGAUCCCGGUAGUC
rnacentral:rRNA from 1 species